UGGGGAAUUUUGGAUCAAUGGGCGAAAGCCUGAUCCAGCAAUGCCGCGUGUGUGAAGAAGGCCUUCGGGUUGUAAAGCACUUUUGUCCGGAAAGAAAUCCUUGGCUCUAAUACAGUCGGGGGAGUGACGGUACCGGAAGAAUAAGCACCGGCUAACUACGUGCCAGCAGCCGCGGUAAUACGUAGGGUGCAAGCGUUAAUCGGAAUUACUGGGCGUAAAGCGUGCGCAGGCGGUUUGCUAAGACCGAUGUGAAAUCCCCGGGCGUCAACCUGGGAACUGCAUUGGUGACUGGCAGGCUAGAGUAUGGCAGAGGGGGUGAGAAUUCCACGUGUAGCAGUGAAAUGCGUAGAGAUGUGGAGGAAUACCGAUGGCGAAGGCAGCCCCUGGCAAGUACUGACGCUCAUGCACG
rnacentral:rRNA from 1 species